GAUGAACGCUGGCGGCGUGCCUAAUACAUGCAAGUCGAGCGAACAGACGAGGAGCUUGCUCCUCUGACGUUAGCGGCGGACGGGUGAGUAACACGUGGAUAACCUACCUAUAAGACUGGGAUAACUUCGGGAAACCGGAGCUAAUACCGGAUAAUAUAUUGAACCGCAUGGUUCAAUAGUGAAAGACGGUUUUGCUGUCACUUAUAGAUGGAUCCGCGCCGCAUUAGCUAGUUGGUAAGGUCACGGCUUACCAAGGCAACGAUGCGUAGCCGACCUGAGAGGGUGAUCGGCCACACUGGAACUGAGACACGGUCCAGACUCCUACGGGAGGCAGCAGUAGGGAAUCUGCCGCAAAGGGCGAAAGCCUGACGGAGCAACGCCGCGUGAGUGAUGAAGGUCUUCGGAUCGUAAAACUCUGUUAUUAGGGAAGAACAAAUGUGUAAGUAACUAUGCACGUCUUGACGGUACCUAAUCAGAAAGCCACGGCUAACUACGUG
rnacentral:rRNA from 1 species